CUUGUCUUACACAUGCAAGUAUCUGCACCCCCGUGAGAACGCCCUUCACCCCUUUAAAGGAAGAGGAGCUGGCAUCAGGCACAUUUUAUUGCCCACGACGCCUAGCCACGCCACACCCACAAGGGUAUUCAGCAGUGAUAAACAUUGUCCAUAAGCGAAAGCUUGAGUCAGUCAAAGAAAACUGAGCCGGCAAACCCGGUGCCAGCCGCCGCGGCUACACCGUGGGGCUCAAGUUGAUUAACACCGGCGUUAAGCGUGAUUAAAGUAAAACACUAGUUAGGGUAAAAUUAAAACCAAGCUGUGACAUGCUUGUUCUUAAGAAACUCAAAAACGAAAGUUACUCUAACCCACCCACUUGAAACCACGACAGCUGGGGUACAAACUGGGAUUAGAUACCCCACUAUGCCCAGCCGUAAAACAUUAACUUACACCCAUAUCGCCAGGGAAUUACGAGCUCAAGCUUAAAACCCAAAGGACUUGACGGUGUCCCACCCACCUAGAGGAGCCUGUUCUAUAAUCGAUUUUCCCCGAUUCACCUCACCCCUUCUAGCCCCUCAGUCUGUAUACCUCCGUCGCAAGCUUACCCUAUGAACGAAAUUAGUGAGCUAAAAGAUCAUUUACCAACACGUCAGGUCAAGGUGCAGCCCACGAAAGGGGAAGCAAUGGGCUACAAUUUCUAACAUAGAACAAACGAAAGACCACAUGAAACAAUGUCAUGAAGGCGGAUUUAGCAGUAAAAAGAAAGUAGAGAGUUCUUUUUAACAAGGCCCUGGGACGCGUACACACCGCCCGUCACCCUCUUCAAAUGCAGUCACACAGUCAUUAACCCCCUCCCGCCAAUCAGAAGAGGUAAGUCGUAACACGGUAAGCGUACUGGAAAGUGCGCUUGGAU
rnacentral:ncRNA from 1 species